rnacentral:rRNA from 1 species
GACCAACGCUGGCGGCGUGCCUAAUACAUGCAAGUCGAACGAGAGCGACCGGUGCUUGCACUGGUCAAUCUAGUGGCGAACGGGUGAGUAACACGUGGGUAACCUGCCCAUCAGAGGGGGAUAACAUUCGGAAACGGAUGCUAAAACCGCAUAGGUCUUCGAACCGCAUGGUUUGAAGAGGAAAAGAGGCGCAAGCUUCUGCUGAUGGAUGGACCCGCGGUGCAUUAGCUAGUUGGUGAGGUAACGGCUCACCAAGGCCGUGAUGCAUAGCCGACCUGAGAGGGUGAUCGGCCACAUUGGGACUGAGACACGGCCCAAACUCCUACGGGAGGCAGCAGUAGGGAAUCUUCCGCAAUGGACGCAAGUCUGACGGAGCAACGCCGCGUGAGUGAAGAAGGUUUUCGGAUCGUAAAACUCUGUUGUUAGAGAAGAAUAAGUGCUAGAGUAACUGUUAGCGCCUUGACGGUAUCUAACCAGAAAGCCACGGCUAACUACGUG